GCCCUCUCCGAGUUGAGUAAUUGGAACAUGACCUCUGUCAUCCCCCGCUGACCCUAAAUGGUGAGCGGAAACGAGCUCGCUUCGGCGGGCGAGGAUACGCACAAACCGUUGCCCAAUCGCCAUUGUUAGAUUAUGCGGAUUCAGAUGGACCAUCCAGCGGCCUCCUAGUAGCCGGGUGGAGCGUGUUCUACGACGGGCGUCGGUUUUUGCGCUUUAUUGUCCUCCCACGGAUGAUUUAUGCUGAUACCAUCUGGACAUAGCGCUUAGAUGAGGCGGAAGAUGGGGUGGGUGUAGUUUUCGCGAUGAGAGGAUUUUUGGAGAUGCAUUUUCGAAACAAUUCGAUAUUUUAUUUAUUCUUUUUUUUUUUUCUGUAAUUUUUAGAUAAUUCUAUUUCGGUUUUUAAUAUCGAUCUCUCUCUCUCGAGGCGAAUUAAUACUUGGGAUAUUUCGUUGGAACUUUCAAUAUUGCCACAUUUUUAAUUAAGUGUUCCGAUGAUGUCCAUCGAGCCCGACGAUCGAUAUUUCAGAGGUGGCCCAAGGAGGUCAUUUUCUACGUUUCAUGGUCCAUCCGAACGCGUUACGAGGUAAUAAAAAGGAAAGCCGCGCGAAUCGGCAUCCAAUUAAAGAGACCGAUUUAUAUCGUUAAAAAAAUAUUGGCCGUAAAACAUCGGGUUACGUCAACGUUUAACGACGAUUCCUCGCAUCCUCUCGGUCCUUGUGUUUUUCAAGAAACACGAAAACGAGCAGAAAAGAAAAAAUAGAAAAGGAACAAAAGAGUAAAAGAGAAGAACGAAAAGAGUUCGAGCGAAACGGCUUCGAUUUUUUUAUUACGAUUCAUUCCUUCCCCUUCCCCCUCCAUUUUUCGAUCGAACGUGUCGUAAAAUAUUCGCGUAACACGAGUGAAACGUGCAAUUGCUCGAGUCGAAGGAAUAAUUUUGAAUUUCGCAAGAAAUUGGCCCUCUUUUUUUCGUGGAACACCUUCUGUCUGGUCUCGUCUCGGGGGGGAUCGAGAAUAACGGCGAGAUUCGCCCACGCAGUUUCCAACCAUGAUCAAGGAACAAUGUAUAACAAUUUCUUCAUGGUUGUCUCGUCAAAUCAAGUAUUAGUCAUCUGCCAGGAACGAGAUUCAAUGAAUGUGUGUUGUGUAUAUGCUCGCCUCCUCCUCCUCCUCCGGACCUCCGCGGUUUCCGGUUUCCAUUCCCUUUCCUGUGAAUCCCGGCGUGGAAACGAGAGAGCCGUGUGUGUCUGUUGCAAAAUUAUCGCGAACACUGGAGCAAUUCAAUCGAGAGUUUGUUGCGAGUUUGUUCGAUUCUCCGGGCUCGAGGUGAAAAUCUAUCCGAUUGAUAAAUUGUGGGGUGUCCAAGAUGACAGGGUUAACCCCUGCCUAGUUACCGAAACGUUUCAGCUUUGAAACGGUGUGGGAUUAUUAAUUUCAGUUUUUCAGAAAGAUCAAGUAGGAUGAAAUAUCGGCGUAAAGGUGUAUACGCGAAUUUUUCAACAUUAUUAGCUUUCGUUGCAUCGCAUCGCUUUUCUGCAAAUAUAAUUUGUCGGAGAUGGGAUACACGCAAUAAUUAUAUACACAUAGAAAUAUAUAAGUGACGGGUAUUUUCAACAUUGUAGGCGUCGGUAUACGGUUCAUUUUACUCCCAUGCUCGUCAGAUUCCAAUUCCUCAGACCUUUCUGAUGUGAGAAUAUCUUAAGGAGGUUAUCCUGUACAGGAUUAGUUACCUAAGUAAAGUAUGCGCGCGAUUGAUUUGAAACAAUAAGAGAUAUUUGUUGCAUCCAUUUUUAUAUAUCUCUCUUUCGAUGAAAUGUAUCACCUGUUUCAUACAAUCAUCAGAUAUUCCUCGAAACUCGUUAAACCCGCUCCAAAUUCCAAUUUCAACAAAUAUUUCAAAGUAAUUUCUCUUACGAAUGAUUCUCAACAAUAUUUCUCACCGACUAAGCACGUAAACGAGUGUGAUUCGUCGACGUCGUACGAAUCUUAUCGAAUCCGAUCGUCUGGUUACGGUCGUACCAUUUUUCACGUUUGAUCGAGGAGAAAACGAGCGAUCCGAGGCCCACCCGCGGUCGAUUCCUCCACGAUUGACGCAGGUUGAUCCCGGAGAGGGUGGAAGCCUCGAGGAAGGGUAUCGAUCGCGGGGGCUAUCGGUUCGCGGGCUGACAGUGCUCUCGAGGAGAUAUAUAUCUGGUGGGGUUCACGCGGGGGUAACUCAAUUUGUAGUUACAAACGAGCAUAAUAUGAUAAUGCUCGCCGCGCUCGCCCGGUUCAACCGACGGUAUCGCAUGGCCCAUCCCCGCUUUGUUAGCCGGACCCACGCUUCCCUCCAGCUGCGCGCUGUCAUUUGUUCACGUCUGUCAAUACGUCACUGAUCGGGUACACCGCUGCCUCGUUGGGAUGCCCCGUCAAGGCCGAUUUUCGAGCCACGAAUUUCCGAGCGUGAAAUUCGGAGAGGAAUUCCUCGACCCCGAUCUUCGAUCGGAUUUCUCGCUGUUGUAACUCGUGUAAUUUCACGUUGUAUAAAUUGUUAGAAAUAACCAAUUAUUACAUUGUUGAGAUAUUGGACAGGUAUAAAAUUUCAUAUCUUCAUUUCAUUCUCCAAUUCUGAGACAGGUUAUGAUAAGGUUAAUUCAUUGAACCUUAAAGGUUCCUUAAAGGAAGGUGGGGAGGUAGCAUUGGCACGAUUGGCAAGCUUCUCCAAUUCUGAGAUAGGUUAUGAUGAGGUUAAUUCAUUGAACCUUAAAGGUUCCUUAAAAAAAGGUGGGGAGGUAGCAUUGGCACGAUUGGCAAGCUUUUCCAAUUCUGAGAUAGGUUAUGAUAAGGUUAAUUCAUUGAACCUUAAAGGUUCCUUAAAGAAAGGUAGGUAGCAUUGGCACGAUUGGCAAGCUUUUCCAAUUCUGAGAUAGAUCAUGAUAGGGUUAAUUCAUUGAACCUUAAAGGUUCCUUAAAGGAAGGCACAGAUUCAGCUUAUAUAUACCGAUCAACUUGAAAUUAAUCGCACGUACGAUCUCUGGUUUCUUAAUUAUUAUCUAAUUAAUUUAGAGCCGAAAGAAUUAUAUAUUGUGUUGGUUGGAGGGAACGUGUUAACAGAUCGCUUCGCUCGAUCUCGAGGGAAAUAUCAUCGCCUACGGUACGAUCGCAAAACACCGCUAAUAACGCGUGUAACGCGCGUUCCCUUGUUGAUCAAACGGCGGGGAAAAAGGGGUCCGCUUUUACGCAUAAAUCACGGGGCGCGUGUAUCCGCGCGAUUAUAUCGUGUGUUGUGCGCGAUUCGAAAGUAUACAACGCUUGUCAAAUUGGCUAAACGGUUAAUAAUACGCGGCUAUGAUACCACUUUCCGUUCCCUCCGCCUGCUUUCCUCGCGAUUUCGCCCGUGAGGUUGGUGCCGCCGCCGGGCAAACUCUGCCUGGUACGCGUGAUUUAAGGCGCGUCGUAAAUAGAUAAUAAUAAAUCGGCAUCGUGGCGCCCAUUUGCUUCGGGACCAAUUUGUUAGGAUCGCUCGGCCUCGCGACCCGAAUAUAUACACUAGGAUGCCACGCGGCUAUUUUUCAACCGGCCGACCCCUGAUUUAUUUUGGCACGAACGAGCGCCGCGGGCGGAUUACGUGAACCCGCUCGGGGAACGCGCUCGCGGGAUUCUCGCGCUUUCUUCUCUUCAAAGAGAAUCAACGUUUCGGACUUGUUUUAUUCUUUUUAAUCACGAGCGAAUUUGCAGCGAUAAUGACGAGUUAUUCCCCGAGUCGAAGCGAGAGGAAAGAAUUAGAGAGCCAAUGAAUCAUCUAGACGAGAUCGAAAAGCGAUAGUACGUGAAAUUUCUCUUCAUUUUCCUAUUCCUUGCCGCGGAAGAGAUAAGAAAAUGGAAGUUCUUUUGCACCUUUGAUAGUAAGCAAACGAUUUUUCACUACUCUCUAACAUCUUUGAUGAUUCGAAGUGGAAUCGAGAUGAUAAUAUCGUGUCAUCCUUGGUAUUUUUCUUAAAUUGAGGAUUAAGAUUGCUUGAAUUGAUCUAGGAGGAGAGAAGGACUUUGAUUCCGCUCUUCGCGCGGUUGGUAUUUUUGGAAACGAGCAGGUGGUCGAUUGGAUGUUUGCUUUCUUCUUCUUCUUUUUUUAAAUCUUUCGAUAAUUCCUUUAUCGACGGUUAAACCCCGAUUGACACGAUGUGUCAGUCUCAUCUACCUUGUUAAACGUUUCGCAAGCCACGAUGUAAUUUGACUUCUUGAGCAAAGUGCUAAAUAUCAGCUGUCAACUGGUUUUCGAAAUCUUCAAUCUUCGCGUAUACCCGUUUUAUUAAAAUCGAUACGUGGGUUUAGUUAUUUAAUUCUUUGCUCGUAUCAUCUAUCGGAAGAGAAAGAAGAAAAAGUGGAUGCAUAUAAUAACCCUUUGAAUUAAUAUAUUCAAACACUGUGAACGUGAUCAAAAACUGAUAAUCUUUCCGAAUAUCGAUACUUUUCCCUCCGCAUUACAACUAAUGAUUCCUUGGACUAUCCGCCUAAAAGAACUAUUCUUCAAAUUAACGCAUUCAACGCAACGUCAUCCUCGAGCAAGUAUAAUUCAUAGAAAGCGCAUCCUGCAACAAAGAGGACGCGACUAUUCACAGAUAUCGGACAAUACUCUUCACCGAAAACAAAAAGAGUGUCCAUCCGCGAAUCCCUUUCGCUCCUUUUCAACACUUUUCAACGCCCGAUGAAAUCGAUGACGAUAUCUAGUCGAGCUAUUAGCACUUCCCCACGCCCCCCCUCCCAUGCUCGUUAUCAUUAUCGGCUGACAAUCCUCGGCAAGGAUUUUAAUUCGUGAUUUCACCUCGUGGCCACUCGAGCUCUCGACUACGGGCCGUACAAGGAAGCAAUCACGGUGAAACGUUAAAAUUGACACGGGUCGCGAAGUUGCAACGAGAAUAGAGACGGCGGUAUACACACGAAGGCUCGCACUUCUUCGUUACAAUCGGGAUUUCACGCGCCUAUUCGAUCCUCGUCGAUCGUUCGACACGGCUCGCGCUUACUCGCUUGCUUAUUCUCGCCAAUCCGGAUCCGACAAUCCGGCAAAGAUUAAUCCUUUUAGAAAACUGCCAAUCGAGAUAAUGGAACGGCUCACGGCGCCGCCGACUUUCGGAUUCGUUUAUGUGUAACGACACGGUGAAAUUUUCAUUUUUAUCACACGUUCGUAUCGUGUUCGUGUUUAUCGGUUCGCAUUCGUUUGUUAUCCGGCCAAUGGACAAUGCUCGAAGGGUUAGUAGAUCCUUCGUUUCCGAUUCGAUUCGCGAUUUACGACGAUUGACGCGAGGCCCGACUACUUCGUUACACAUCGUUAAGCCGAGGUUGCUCCUGAGGCGCUUUCACGAGGCGGCUUAGGAUGCUCGAUACGUGAAAUCUUAUCGUCGUAAACAAAUCAUCUGUCGAUGAGGAUCUCGGCUCCUGUCUCCGGUAUAUGUGUGUAUAUAUAUAUAUAUAGGUGUUCAACUCAAUUAUAUCGGCAUAUCGAUUCCGGAUUGCGAAUAAAUGGCGUUGGGUACAGGUCGUUCUGAUUGACUUGAAAGCUGUGCGUCGAUGAAAGUGGUAUAUCAAAGGAUGAGCAACAGGAUUUAUUCAUUUUCCUAGACAAGUGUGGAAUUGGUUUCGUGGUACUUGUCAGUUGUUGUUGUUGUUUUUCUUGUAAUGAGAAUAAUUGGGAGAGAGAUUUGUAUCGAGAUACGAUUGUUGAAAUAUAAUUGAUGGAAUCGUUCGAAACGUUUGCGUAUAAAAAGUAUUCAAUUUUUCUUUUAUUAUUAUUUAUAUUAUUCGUAUUGAAUUCAUCCGUGGAAAAAAUUGGCAAAACGAGAUAUUAUUAUUGGACUUACUUUUCCACAAUUCCUUUCCAUUCCACCGACGAUUUGUAACGAACCUUGCGGUUCGUUCUUCGAUCUCGAUACACCUUGGAAGACCUUUAACAAGAGAAAAGACAGGGGAAUAGUGUGUAUCCCUGUAACAGUUACGAGUGGUAUACGCGUUAUAAUCUGAAACGCGACGAUGUAGCCGCGACUCUCUCUAAUAAAGUUGUCGCGAGUAGGUUUCACAUUGUGCUGUCGGUGGGGACAUUAAAAGGAAGAAGUCCGCAGGUGCCCGUCCUCUCGACAGCAUCCAAACUCCAGGGUUUACAUGGUGGAAACGCAUUUAUAGGAUCGCCUUUAUGGCGCCUCAUUUCGAAGCUGCUGCUCGUCUACUCGACGAAUGUGAUUCUCCGUGCCUCGAGAAGAGGAUGCACACGUUCAGAAUGGAAGUCCAGAAAGAAAACUUGUUAGUAAGUGACAUGUUGAUACAGGGUUCAAGUUGUUAUGUAAUUUGGAAAAUUUAUUAUUGGAUAGGCGCGAUAUUAUAUAGGGUGUUAAUAUUCUUGUGGAAUUUUUUUUCGAUUCAGGAACAAAGUUAAUAAAAGUUGGCCAAGCUUGUUUGCAAUUUAAUAAAUAAACCGACAAUUUUACAUUAUAUUAAUUUAUGUUUACAUUUGUUUCAGCUUCUAGAAUCGAAGAUAUCCGAAUCACGAAUGAAACGAUAAAAUUAUUACAUCUAACUCGAAUAGAGGUCACGAAUUAAUCUAUUAAUUUUUUCGAAAUCAGCGUAAAUGAAAAUCGCAAGAGAAAUAUAUCGAUCGGAGGUUAACACGAUUCUUAAAGGAUCCUCUUAAUUGGCCCUUCCCCCUAAUCGAUUGCAAAAAUCGUUUCUUUCAGGUUCUUCUCGAGUAAACAUCGAGUUGCAACGAGUUCACGAUCGUUGAGGCGGAUCGUUAGAGACAAUCGUCGCGUCUAUCGAUCAUGUUACGAGCACCGGCUCGUCUAUCGAUCAUCUCGCAGAGCACGAAACGGAUCGUCUCGUUACAAUAUCGAGGGAAAGAGGCACUUGUGUCGGCAGCUUCGAGCUCACGAAUUGUCGUGGCUUGUACCGUUAAUGGCGAAUUACUUGUCAUCCCGCCAUUUUUAUAUUUAUCAUCGACCCGGCAAGUUCAGCAAAGACGGUUCUCGAGUCGACGUGCGUAGCGGAGGUCGACUUGGGUUAAGGAGAAAUUUUUAGUGGAAUUAUUUACGAUCGAACUCUUACGAGUGCCUCUCCUUCCUUAAUUAGGCACCGACACGUAGAAUACGUUAGAAAGUGUACAAUAAAUGUCUGAUUGCUUCACGACCCGUAAACUUCUCUCGGAUAUGUACGCACCAGUCUCGACUAGAUAGUCUUCCAUCGGUAAAAAUUCGUUCUUAACGAAAGGAAAAUUGUGUUAGAUACACUAUUGAUUUCAUUUAUAUUCAUACACGUUGGAAUAUACGGGCGAAUAUAAGAGUUAUUCACAAUGGAAUAUCCAGAAGGGAGAGGAAUCGAAAACACUUGUACCGAUCAAUGACUGAUGAAUAUUCAAACGAUUCGACUUUCAUUUUCAAUUUUAGUUUCAAUUUACAAGAAGCUUUCUUCCUUCUCCAUCAUUUAAUUCCUUUGCAUUGCUCGACAAAUUCCUCGAAACUUUCUUGCAUUUAUAAAACGCUCAACAAGGAAUUAAAUUAGCGGAACGAGAUUAUCUUAACAUUUCAAUUCUUCAAAUUAUUAAUUCAUUUUAUCGAAGAAAAGUAUCACUCGAAAGUGAUACUUACCAAUACUCAAACCAUAUUUUUCACCUAUAAAAUCCCGUCGACGAAGUGCAAAGUGAAUCGAAUUAACGGGGGUGCAGGGAUAAGAGUCUCUUUAUCGAGGAUUAUUUGGCCAAUAAUUCAUCACCGCCCCGGUCCCCGCCUCAUUUUCGCGGCACGGGAUGCUCGAUCACGCCUAACGGCAUCGCAUCGGCGUAAAUACGUUGCGUAAUUAAUUUCGCGCCGCUAGCCGCUUCGCCAUUAUAUAUUUAUAGCGGUGCAUUAACCCCGAUGUGUUUUAUACCGCCGCUCGGCAUCGUUCCUCCUCCUCGCCUGCAAAAAAAUCGUUCGACGCCAUUGCAAACAAGAGGAGAUCCGCGCUCAACGGAUCCAUUACGCCGAAACAGGAAGGAGGGACGCGAUUACGAGAGGGGUCGGGCGAGAAGAUAUCGAUAGAGGGUCAGCUCGAGAACGAUGGCGGAGGAGAGCGCGGAGUACGCGAAGGGGAUGCUGGGAUUGCUGCGAGGGUUAUUAGCGGUUCAUCGACAAGUAGUAAUCUGUGUUAAUUUAUCUUGCCCUCAUGGUAUUGCGUGGUGUAAUCUUUAAACAUAUUAACUUUUUCUUUUAAUCAAAUCUCGUUUCGAUUAUUGCAUAGGAGGAAUAAUAAUAAUAUUGUCUAUUUUAUUUAUUUUGGAUGAAUAAAUUAUUUAUCAAUUAAUAAUCUAAACCCUGUUUAACUUCAAUUGAAAAUCGUGCCGUACUUGAUGUUCUGAUAUAAAAUACUGGUAUUAAAAAGAAAAAUUCAAAAAUUGUUUCAAUUAUCCAUGAUCCGACAAAUCAAAGAGUACAAUAUUAAUUAAUUCCUCCAAAAUGAAAGCAACAGAUUACGACAGAUUUCACCCGGCUCCCAUUUAUCAACCGCUUCAUUAACUUCUUCCCCAGCUUAUCGAUCCCCACGACGAAUUCAAAAGAACCGGGCCUGAAACCCGAUGAUUGACUCAUAACCCACUACACCUUCGAUACGUUACACACAAUUUCCCUGGCCAAUAAUUAUACACUAUAAUUAGAAAUCAAAGCUAUUCACGGGGCGUUAAUGAUACUUCCGCGUCGCCGUGUUAAAUUUGUUCCAGCCUCUGCCCUGCCGAGCAAUAUUUUCACGCGAUCCGUGCCCUCUCGCCCUCGGCUCUAAACGAGCCCUUCUUCCUUCCCUUCCUGCCCUUCUUCACCGGUCAGGUCGAGACGUUUCUUUUUCUCUCUUCCUUUUUUUUUCGAUGCCGCGUUCUAAAUGCCGGUGAUGAGAUCAUUUAUCAUACGUACGAAAACGCGAGUCUCCCUCCUGCCGUGGCCGGCAUCACGCUUCCGCGCUUCGCUCGCCUCGUUCCCACGCGCGAGAGGACCCGAAGAUCGGGACACGCGGGUCCAUCUCGUACUCUAACGCGUCCUGCUUUUACUCGGAAAGCGGGGGAUUUUCGUGAGGUCGACGAGCUUGUUACAUGGAAAGCUUCUUACGGUAAGAAGCAAGGUAUUUUCUCGUGUCGGAAGUUGUCGAUUCGUCGUUGAUUAUUGACGUUAUUUUGUAGGUUGCGGUAAGAAAGUCGAGGCUUGGUUUCGAAAUUGUACGAUAUGUAUUUUUACGCGCUGUUAGAAGACGGAGGUUUAACGAGUUAUCAAGAAUAUUAAAAAUUACUCUUACUUAGUCCAAGGCUUAAGAAAAUUAUUUCACUUUCGAUUGUAAGGAUGGGAUUAAAUUACAUUCAAGGUUUCGGUAUCUUUCAUAUAGAGCAGAAAAUUUUGAAAUUAAAAUUAAGAGCGUGUACGCGUCGUGAAACGUUUCGACAAGGCGAGCAUGAGAAUUUGAGCGGCCGAGGAUUGGAUCGAUUGGAAAGAAUCGCCGUUAUUACAGGGAACUUUCAUUUGACUUUCAUUACACGAAAGUUCAUCGCAUGCCGGGCGAAGCGCGCACGCGUUACGUAAACGCACACACGUUUGACCCGGACCAUUUUCGAGCGAUUAAGCCCGAGAAAGCACGACCGAGCUGGUUGCCGAUUGUCUGGCUCGCCGCUGACUCUAAUUAGUCACACCCGCGCGCAGGUGAAUCACGUUCGCCGAACGGGUUGCCUGCCUCGAGGCUCCUCGCGUUUAUUCGAGGAGAAAGCGCGCGAUGCGUUCGCCGCGAUUUCGCGGACAAAACGAAUUCUAAUGGCGCGAACGCGACCCGCGUUUCAUCCACACGUGCGAAACGAACGGUGUUUAUAUUCGUGUAACGUGCACGGCUCUUGAUGUUUACAGCCGCGGGGAGAUCAGCCGUUUUAAUUUGAUUCGACGUGGAUAGUGGUCAAAAUCGUCGUUUCCAAGGUAAAUAACGGGAGGAGAAUAAAACAAUUUGACAGAAUUGUAUACAGUGUUUCUCAACCAUUUUUUCUCAACGUCUUCUUUCGAGAGAUAGUCAAACAAUCUCUUUCGAUAUUUAUAGAAAUUUGUUUAUCGACAUUGUGUAAAUAACAUGGAUUACACUGUUAUAUAAUCGCGAAAAGAACGCGAUGAUACGAAAGAAUCAAGACAGCGCCUUGGCAAAGGGUAUGUAGACCCCUGUUCCGGGGAUCACACCCACGGACUUCUAAUCUUCGUAAAGAUUUUUUCCAACUUUUAUGCGUUAAAUCAUCCUCAAAAUUGAAAGAUGAAUGAAAAAAGUGAAUGAAUGAACCGCGUAUGAAUGUUAAAAGGAUCAAUAAUGUCUCGAUUAAAAUUCCAAGACUCGAGGAGAAAUUGUCUAUUAACUAAUUCAGGAAAUUCCAUUGUCGAAAAAAUCGAAAUACCUUGUUCCUUGUCGAGUCGUCAGAACUUCCACUGCCUACGCGAGGUUUCUUGGCGGAACCUCCGGGACAGUGCAAUCUCAAAUUUGUUUGAACGAAUCCAAGCAACAGCUGGAACGAACGCUACAAGUAGCGGGCUCCGUGUGUCUCGCCCACGUGCGCCUGUUGAGGACGUUGAGGCUCGCGCCGCUGAAUUUGCAUAAUGCGGAAUCGAAUUAAUGGAUUUAGAGCUGACGUCGAUAAAUAUAUCGGCACGAAUUUGCUCUGACCCGUUCAACCGCUUUGAUUAGGAUGAAUGUAGUCAUUGUUCUCGCUUGUAAAAUAAUGAAAAAUUUAAAAAAAAAAGAUGAGAAAAAAUAAAAUUAUCGUCGAAGAAACAGAAGAAAAGUGCUACAUUAAUCGAUCGAUUAGACAUCUCCUUUGGCAUCGACGUACCGAAAUUCGGCAUUAGUAAAUUUCACCGUCAUCUUUUAUCGAAACGCAUCAAAGCGGAACGUCAAUUACGCGGCCGAGAGAUGGGCCGAGAUUGCCCGUGGAGCAGAAAAGCAAAACCUAGAUGGCACCACCGAGAUUGUUACCUCUUAUUCGAACAUUAGAUUCCAACACAAGAGCGUAGUAAUAAACGAAGAAAGGUGUUAGAUACACCCAUCUAGCCCCGUGAUCCACCGUUAUUCCUGCAGUCACGAUGAUCCUAACGCGGGUUUCCCAUCGUUAAACCAAUAAGUAGCAAAAAAUAUGGCAAACACAAACGCCGAUAGCCAAAUCCGGCUCUGUUAAAGUACGUCCACUAAUGCGUACCGGGCUAUAAACUUUCAAAUACAAGUGGUAAAUCAGCGAGGACGAGGUAAAUAGCGAAGAGAGAAAGAACGGGAGGUGGAAAAAAAUGAGGAAAGGUCGUGAUAGGGAAAUAUCUCGGCGCGCUUCCAUCCGCUUGUCCCGAAGCGCAAAGGCCCCCAUUACUUGUGUCCACAAUGUCGAGAUAUUAACCUGCUUCGGCUGAAUGGCCACACGGUUCAGCUCGGCCCGGCGAGCUCCGGUUCGAACAACAACCUGUGGCAGCGAAAGGGUGGUGGAGGGGGGAGGAGGGGACAGAUACGAGAAACGACCACACUUUGCUUCACCUUGCGCACGUCGUGCGGAGUCCACGAAGCUGUGCCACUUGUCCUGGAAUUCUCAGGGACGAGCGGCUCGUCUUCCGCCUUCGACGGUUCCGCUGAAAUUCUACGGACGUAGCUCCGUUUCGAGGGAACGGCUCGAGGUUUUGAACGAGUUUGACGGAUUUCGAGGAUUCGCAUAAAAUUCCCCUGUACACAUAUUCGUCCCUCGAUACCGACUUAUCGCAUUAGUCCAGCUGACGAAUCCCCGACAGCUCGAGCAGCAUAACGAUGCUAUCUCGGGCACGAUUUCAACGAGCAUGGCCCAUUAAGCGGGACAGCCGGUGUCUAACGGAAGCGUGUCAAUCAGCUAAGGCCUCGCAGCAUCGUGUGUACCCGCGAUCUAUCGACACGUUUCUCGAUCGUGCGAAUCGUCGCGCGAGCGGACGACACGAGGCUCUCGAGUGCCGGAAGGCCGUACGCGGCAGCCUCAUCAUGGAGGACUUGAGAAAUAGACACAUUACGGCGUGUAACUCGGACUGGGCUGGCUGUCAUUAACCGCGUCAUCCCGUGGAAUGCCUAUACGUGAAUCGAGACCAUCCUGCACACGUUUGGCCUUGAAUUUAUCCAAGUGAACGAGACCGGUCGGCCGAUCUUCAGGAGAAAGAGGGGGAGUAAGAAGAAUGCCAGUUCGAUAAAGAAAAGACACUUCACGACCCUGUGAAAUGGUACAAUGAUUCCAAGACUUUCGAAAAUCAUCGCAAGGAAGACUAUCGGGAUCAA